rnacentral:rRNA from 1 species
UACGUAGGGGGCAAGCGUUGUCCGGAAUCAUUGGGCGUAAAGAGCAUGUAGGUGGAUCAAUUAGUCUGCUGUGAAAGUCAAAGGCUCAACCUUUGAAAGCCGGUGGAUACUGUUGGUCUAGAGUAUGGAAGAGGCGAGUGGAAUUCCUGGUGUAGCGGUGGAAUGCGCAGAUAUCAGGAGGAACACCAAUAGCGAAGGCAGCUCGCUGGGACGUUACUGACACUGAGAUGCGAAAGCGUGGGGAGCAAACAGG